AGGACCACCGGGCCCCAAAGGUGAUCAGGGCGAUGAAGGGAAGGAAGGCGAGCCUGGAAUCCCUGGAUUACCUGGACUUCGAGGUCUACCAGGGGAGAGAGGAACCCCAGGACUGCCCGGCCCCAAGGGUGAUGAUGGGAGGCCGGGAGCCACAGGCGUGAUGGGCAUGCGCGGGAUCAAAGGUGACCGAGGCCCAAAAGGAGAGAAAGGAGAUAAAGGAGACAGAGCAGGGGAUGCCAGUAAGGAAACUUUGUUGGGGUCACUGGAUUCUAUGUCAGCAUGAGAAUAGCUGUCACCCAGAAAGCCACACAAGUUUGGGGGUUCAGGGGCUGGAUCCAUGGUCCAGGGCUUUGAUGUUAAAGGAGCCCCCUACCUGUGUCAGGUGUACUCUGGGGACACAGACCACAUUUCCAGGUGUGGUACAAGCCCCGUGGUUGUGUAGAAGGACCUGGAGGCAGACUUCCUGGGCUCCCUCCUGGCUGCCUCACGAGAUGGCUAUGUAAUCUCUGGGCCUCCGUUUUCUCAUCUGUGGAAUGAGGAUAAAAGAGUCCAUACCUCACAGGAUCACUGUGA